rnacentral:rRNA from 1 species
AUACGGAGGGUGCAAGCGUUAAUCGGAAUUACUGGGCGUAAAGCGCACGCAGGCGGUUUGUUAAGUCAGAUGUGAAAUCCCCGGGCUCAACCUGGGAACUGCAUCUGAUACUGGCAAGCUUGAGUCUCGUAGAGGGGGGUAGAAUUCCAGGGGGAGCGGUGAAAUGCGUAGAGAUCUGGAGGAAUACCGGUGGCGAAGGCGGCCCCCUGGAGGAAGACUGACGCUCAGGUGCGAAAGCGUGGGGAGCAAACAGGAUUAGAUACCCUGGUAGUCCACGCCGUAAACGAUGUCGACUUGGAGGUUGUGCCCUUGAGGCGUGGCUUCCGGAGCUAACGCGUUAAGUCGACCGCCUGGGGAGUACGGCCGCAAGGUUAAAACUCAAAUGAAUUGACGGGG